rnacentral:rRNA from 1 species
UACGAAGGGGGCUAGCGUUGUUCGGAAUCACUGGGCGUAAAGCGCACGUAGGCGGACCUUCAAGUCAGGGGUGGAAUCCCGGGGCUCAACCUCGGAACUGCCUUUGAUACUGUUGGUCUUGGGUCCGAGAGAGGUGGGUGGAAUUCCUAGUGUAGUGGUGAAAUUCGUAGAUAUUAGGAAGAACACCGGUGGCGAAGGCGGCCCACUGGCUCGGUACUGACGCUGAGGUGCGAAAGCGUGGGGAGCAAACAGG